rnacentral:rRNA from 1 species
AUUGAACGCUGGCGGCAGGCCUAACACAUGCAAGUCGAGCGAGCGGCGGACGGGGGAGUAAUGUCUGGGAAACUGCCUGAUGGAGGGGGAUAACUACUGGAAAAGGUAGCUAAUACCGCAUACCAUCAGAUGUGCCCAGAUGGGGUUAGCUAGUAGGUGGGGUAACGGCUCACCUAGGCGACGAUCCCUAUCUGUGCUGAGAGGAUGACCAGCCACACUGGAACUGAGACACGGUCCAGACUCCUACGGGAGGCAGCAGUGGGGAAUAUUGCACAAGGGGGGCAAGCCUGAUGCAGCCAUGCGGCGUGUGUGAAGAAGGCCUUCGGGUUGGAAAGCACGUUCAGCGGGGAGGCGUUACCCGCAGAAGAAGCACCGGCUAACUCCGUGCCAGCAGCCGCGGUAAUUC